AACGUAGGAGACAAACGUUAUCCGGAGUUACUGGGCGUAAAGGGCGUGUAGGUGGUAGAGUAAGUCUGGCGUGAAAUUUUUCGGCUUAACCGGGAAAGGUCGUCGGAUACUGCUUAACUAGAGGACGGUAGAGGCGUGUGGAAUUCCGGGUGUAGUGGUGAAAUGCGCAGAUAUCGGGAGGAACACCUAUGGCGAAGGCAGCUCGCUGGGACGUUACUGACGCUGAGACGCGAAAGCGUGGGGAGCAAACAGG
rnacentral:rRNA from 1 species